CCUCUCAGGUGGCUCUAAACUGCGACGGCAAUGGGUGGGAAAUUUAAAGAAAGGGGGUGGAGCUCUGAUUGUGACAUGGAAGACUACAGCGAACAAAGCAACCAAAUAUCACAGCAAAUUUGGGCUGAAAAACCUCAUGUCAUCAAAGGUGAGUUUAUGUUCCUUAUAUUGCACAUGCUUCCUCUGUGUGUACUAAAUAUGUGAUUUAAUGCACAUCUGUGUCUGUUUAUGAUUAAUUGUUGGCAUUUUCCCUUUCAGGACCAAAGUGAACCUCAUAUGCUACAGAGGGGUGGGUCUGUGUGUGGAACGCACACAUAUCGCCUCAUCCAAUCAGACUGCCUUCAGAAUCGUCUACCAAUCACACAGCACUUUGGCAGGGUGAGUGACACCUGAAGGCAUCCAGACUAAACUGCACAAAAAUUAUGU
rnacentral:lncRNA from 1 species